GACAGAGGAUGCAAGCGUUAUCCAGAAUGAUUGGACGUAAAGCGUCUGUAGGUGGCUUUUCAAGUCCGCCGUCAAAUCCCAGGGCUCAGCCCUGGACAGGCGGUGGAAACUACCAAGCUAGAGUACGGUAGGGGCAGAGGGAAUUUCUGGUGGAGCGGUGAAAUGCAUUGAGAUCGGAAAGAACACCAACGGCAAAAGCACUCUGCUGGGCCGACACUGACACUGAGAGACGAAAGCUAGGGGAGCAAAU
rnacentral:rRNA from 1 species